CCCCUCCCCAUCACUUGCCCAUCCCCAGCCUGCUGGCUCUUGGGGGCUCGGAAGGAGUCCUGAUGCUGUGCCAGCACUACGCAGCAAUAGACACAACACUGGAGUGAUAUCAGUGCUGUUCCAGCUAGGAGUGCAGAGCACAGCACUGUGUGGGCUGUUGCAGGGAAAAGGUGACUCCAGCUCAGACAGACCCAACACAAAUAUAAAUGUGGUAGCUGAAAAGGUAGCUAGUAAAUCUGAACAAUUUUUCAGACUGGUUUUUUUUUUUUUUUUUUUCAUAAUUAGUAUCUUGGCAAAAUUCAUUUGGAGAGGUUAAAAACAUACAUGUAUUUGGCUCUGACUGGCAGGAUUCAAGCAUCAAUAAAAAACAUUAGAGUACAUUAAAAGAAAAAAAAAAUAAAAAGAUAAGAACAUUUCCCCUAGUCCUUUUCACAACUGAAUUAUUUUCACUUAUGAAUGCCAACCUCGUUUAUUUCAACAUUUUAAAAAGAAUGUUUUGACUUUUCAGUUUGAAACAACAUUUUUCAUUUUAACAUUAAUGUCUGCAAUGAACAUGGGUUGAAACUAUUAUUUUUAAAUUUGUAUGUACUGUAUAUGAAUGUCAUUCUUUUGUGAAUUCAGAGCAUGACAGAGGCUUCAGCCUCAGGUUUAUGCACCCUUUCCAGGGGUGGAAAUAAUAACUUCACAAGGGGCUAGUGGUUUGUUAAUGCCCUAGAGGUUCCCAAGUAGUUGGAAAGAAGAUAAAGCACUAGUUGUGUGAUGUUAAUCUAAUCCAACUCCAAAAAUCUUAGUUCUCACCUCUGUUCCCAUUCCCUGUGCUGGAUGCCAUUGUCACCUUUUCUUUUGUGCCUCAGGUCACAUUUUGCAGCCCCAUGGUGAUCAGAGCAGGAACCAGCUCCAGCUGGAAAGUGACCUCUGCUUUUUUAUUUACAGCUGCAGGUUUUUUGAUCCUGCUGUCACAGAAAACUUUGUACUACAGUUAGAGACAGACAUAGAAAGAGGAAAGACAAAAUGGAAGCAAUAUCAUUAUGUGAAUGGUGUUGUGAAGUUUAAUGGAGACGUCAGGAUUAAUCAAAAGAAGACAGAAAAUGUGGAGAAAAUUAGAGUCACUGUCUAAUAGGUAGAUGAUGAAAAAUUACAAAACAUCUCCUUCUGAAGUCAACCACCUUCACUUUUCUGAAAAAAAAAAAAAAAUUGGGUUCCAAAUGCUGAGAGAGCCAAACAUUCAUCUAACUAAUUUAGAGGCCAACAGGUAAGAAGAAUAACUGUAUUAUGAGAAAUCAUUUGGAGCUGUGCAAACUGAAUGAUUUGAAAUGUCUGUGGGUAGAUUUUCAAAGGAGC
rnacentral:lncRNA from 1 species